rnacentral:lncRNA from 1 species
CCCCCCCCCCCCCCCCCCCCCCCCCCCCCCCCCCCCCCCCCCCCCCCCCCCCCCCCCCCCCCCCCCCCCCCCCCCCCCCUCCCGGGCCGGUUCCGGGAAGCGGGGCUGUGGCCCCGUGCCGAGGGUGCUGGUCCCAUCCCGGGGUCUGGGUCUGUCCCGGGAAGCGAGGCUGUGACCCCACGGCGGGGGUCCCCCCCUGCGCCCCACAGGAAGCUGGCUCUCAAGUACCAUCCCGACAAGAACCCCGAUGACCCGGCGGCGGCCGAGCGGUUCAAGGAGAUCAACAGCGCCCACGCCACCCUGAGCGACGCGGACAAGCGCCGCCUGUACGACCAGUACGGCUCCCUCGGCCUCUACGUGGCCGAGCAGUUCGGCGAUGAUGCCGUCCGGCACUACUUCCUCAUGUCCAAGUGGUGGUUCCAGGCACUGUUGCUGUGCUGCGGUGCCCUCACCUGCUGCUGCUGCUGCUGCUGCUGCUUCUUCUGCUGCGGGACGUGCUGCCCGGCCAAAGAGGAUGAGUCUUACAAGUACGUGGACCCCAAGGACCUGGAGGCACAGAUGCGUGCAGAGGAGGGCGGUAAGUCAGGCUGGAGCUCAGCUGGAGCACCUGUGUUUGCUUUGUGGGGGCACUGGGGUCUCCCCAUGUCCCAUCUCAUGUGGGGGACAGAGUUCUGGCUCACGCCUUAGGUCGGUUUUAGCUGCAGCUCUUACUUCCAGCCAGCUCUCGGUGUUUCCUUUGUGGGCCAGGGCUGGUGACAGUGACAGAGGGAGCCACUGCCUGGGCCAUGGGCGCACCUUCUCCUUCCCUCUGGACAAAGGCCCCCUGAGCAGGCCUGAAGCUUAGAGACCCUUGGGCCUGUGCCCUUUGGGGCACAAAGCACGGGAAGAGUGGCUGUGCUUCAGGCUGGCUCUGUUCCCUGGCACUGGCUAUACUGGUGUCAGUGGGGCUGGGUGACUCCUGCAGUGGCGGGAAGAGUGGCUGUGCUUCAGGCUGGCUCUUCCCUGGCACUAUACUGGUGUCAGUGGGGCUGAGUGACUCCUGCAGUGCGGUUGGGGCAGCUCUGCACUGGCCAGGGAGGUGGAAGCUUUGGGCUGUGGGAGCCCUUGUGGGGCUGCUGUGAGAUUCCUGCUCACUGGCACCACAGGAUGGGGCUGAGCCACUGAUGUGCAGCUCUUCCUUUCCAGAUCCUCAGAUCCCUGUUGUAGCACAGCCCCCGCCUGCCAGCACGGAGCCGCUGCCAGCCAGCACCAGAAGUGACGCCUGAGGCUGGCCCCAUUCCGCCUGCUCCCCCAGGACUCGGGGCAGGGAUCCUCCUUUGGGACUGUCACUUUCUGGGACCAUGGUCCCGCUCCCCCCGACUGGCUCAUCAGCCUCGGGAGGGAUAGAAUCUCAGGUUAAUUUGGCCAGCAUCAAUGCACAGGUUCCUGGGCCCCUGCUCGAGCUCCAGGGCAAUGCCCCUGCGUCCCAGCACUGGUGGUGGCAGUGGCCUGGAGCCCGUGCUGCUGUGGCCCCCUUUAGUGCCUUGCCUGUGCCCCGUUGGGCACCGAGCACCAGGCACGAGCAGAGAUGCUCCAGGCUGAGCUCCGUGGCUCGGGCGAGGGGGCUGAGCGUGUCCAAGACCAUUAGCACUGUAACCUCUGGGGCUGGGCUGAGCCCAGUGCCCCCCUCAUGCCACCCUCCCGAUGGGUGCUGGGUGCCAAACGCUGCUGUGGGGUUGGGGUGCUUCUGUCUGUACCCCUUUCCUCUGCCCUCUGGGUUUGUCUGGGUUUUUGUGGGCACCAUUAAAGGCUGACGGGAGGGGAGUGUGUGUGUGUGCCUGGGCUCUGUCCAGGGCUGCCGGAGCACUUGGCAGCAGGAUGUGCCUCUGCCUGCUGUUGUCCCUGCCAGGGGCUGUGCCCAUGCAUCCUGCGGGGUGCUGGAUGCCUGGGGUGUGCAGUAAGCAGGUCAUGUCCUGUGUGGAGUGGGCAUGCCAAGUGGAGUGAACGUCACUUGUCUCCUGUCACCCAUCUGGUCUCACUCUCUGUCCCCUGCUGCUGGCUCCCACAGGCUCUGCUCUUCCUGCUCCUUGCUGCUGCAGCCCUGGAGCCCUGCUCCCGCUGCCCGGCACCGCCCCUGCUCCUGCCCUGCUCCUGCCCUGCUGGCCGGGAUGGGACCGAGGGGGGCGCAGUGACCCUCUUUCCCUUUCUUCCCAUCUCUGGUCACCGCCUCUGACCGCAGCUGCAUGGGUUCUGCCUCACUCCCUAAAUAUAGACAGGGUGCCAGGGUGAGCGAGGAUGGGGUGUCCUGGCACCAGCCCCUCCACGCUGCUGUUCGGGGGGGCUGGCACUGGGCUGGAGGGACCCCAACCUCCUUCAGCCCUGCUGCGUGCAGAGGGGGGCGCAGAGUCCCCAAGGUGACUGCCAGCCCUACAGCCCCUGACCAGCCAGCCCUGGUCCCCCGGAGCCUCGGCCGCUUCUCUCCGCGCGGGGGAUCCGCGGUCCCGAGACUCAGGCGGUCCCAGGGAAGGAGCCGGUCCCGGGACCAGCCGGUCCCCCCCCCCCCCCCCCCCCCCCCCCCCCCCCCCCCCCCCCCCCCCCCCCCCCCCCCCCCCCCCCCCCCCCCCCCC